CUUGAUGGAGCCGAGGUACAGCGGCUGUUCUGCGGUCUUCUCCUUGCCGUACGUGGCCAGCAGCGCCUGCGCCUC
rfam:Streptomyces hygroscopicus ATCC 53653 genomic scaffold supercont1.1, whole genome shotgun sequence.